rnacentral:tRNA from 1 species
GGCUGUGGCUCAGUGGUUGAGCGUUUGCCUCGCACGUGUGAAGCACUGGGUUCAAUCCUCAGCACCA